rnacentral:rRNA from 1 species
GUUAGGAAUAUUGGACAAUGGGCGCAAGCCUGAUCCAGCCAUGCCGCGUGAGUGAUGAAGGCCUUAGGGUUGUAAAGCUCUUUCAGUGGGGACGAUAAUGACGGUACCCACAGAAGAAGCCCCGGCUAACUUCGUGCCAGCAGCCGCGGUAAUACGAAGGGGGCUAGCGUUGUUCGGAUUUACUGGGCGUAAAGCGCACGUAGGCGGAUCGUUAAGUCGGGGGUGAAAUCCUGGAGCUCAACUCCAGAACUGCCUUCGAUACUGGCGAUCUUGAGUCCGGAAGAGGUGAGUGGAACUCCUAGUGUAGAGGUGGAAUUCGUAGAUAUUAGGAAGAACACCAGUGGCGAAGGCGGCUCACUGGUCCGGUACUGACGCUGAGGUGCGAAAGCGUGGGGAGCAAACAGGAUUAGAAACCCGAGUAGUCC